AAGGCUUUAAGUUAACUAAACUCAUAGCCUUCAAAGCUGUAAAUAAAAUACUUAUAUUUUAAGCCUUA
rnacentral:tRNA from 1 species